GAUAAGCAAUUUACUCAGCGCCAGAGAGAAGUCGCUGUGUUUCCAACCAACCGAGACAGUAACGCUGUUUCUAUUCCAUGUUGCAGAUAUUGUUGUUACACUAAACCCUUAAUUUUUUAAUAGUUGUUUUAUUUUUAAUAUUUUAAUCUUUAGAACAGUAGCUGCACACCUGAACUUCGUAGCCAUUAGAAGACUGACGAGAGAGAAAUUGUUGAAUCUGAGUUUGAAUAUCACCGCGUUAAUGUCUGCCAAGGAUAACCGUAGACAGCAAAUGAAUUUCGGAGUGCUGAUCUCCCAGUGGCACUAAAUAAUUUGGACAUAGUAUUUUUUAAUGUGAUGAAGGCGCGUGGCGUAGUGUUUACGAUGUGGCACUGACGAUCGGUAGAUCGUGGGUUCGACUCCAUGAUUGAACCCGUUGUGUUCUUGAGCAAACCACUUCAUUUCACAUUGCUCAAGUCUACUUUCGAUCAGGGGAGGAUGUUGGCUUGCUCGCCUAGCGAGGUGACGUCCUUUGAAGGCUAAAACAAUGCAAAAACACAUUGUGAUCAGCGAUGUAUAACAGCAUCUACUAGCCUGGUCGGUUAGGUGAUCCCGUGAUUUGAUAGUAUGAUUAAAGAUUUUUAAUAGUAUAUUGUUCAAAACUGUUUAAUAGUAUAUUGUUCAAUAAUAGUAUAUUGUUUAAUAGUAUAUUGUUCAAUAAUAGUAUAUUGUUUAAUAGUAUAUUGUUCAAUAAUAGUAUAUUGUUUAAUAGUAUAUUGUUCAAUAAUAGUAUAUUGUUUAAUAGUAUAUUGUUCAGAACUGUUGAUGGUUACCAUUUUGUUUCCUUAAUAUGUGCAGUGAUUGUGACUGGGGCGCUACUGGAGGUGACAAUAUUAUCAAAUCGCCAUUGACGAAUAUGUUUGACUGUUGUUUCUUGAGAAAGUGAUGAGUGAACAGUGGUCACGAUUGGAACAAUUUAAUCCUACAUGUACAUUAUCCGGACUAUCCUUAGAUUAAGCUCAAAACAUACAUGGCUUAAUCAGCUCCCCUGAAUUGCCGGGUUUUCUCUAAGUAAGAGGUUGUUACACUCAUUAUUCUAAUUAAACUGAUGGCUAUGUGGUAUGUCUGUAUCUUGUCUCUGUAAUUUAAAAUUUCAUGUCAGAUCGCAUUAUUGAAGCGAGCACUGGUAAGACCCCCUUUGAACAAAGUUUUUAUGGAGAUGUUUUUACUCAAUAUUCUUUUAUGCUGCACACACUCUCAUAAUUCCAUACCUGAACUUCCUGACGAGUCGUUAAUGCGACAUAUCGAGGAGACAUAUUUGAAGACUUGAUUUAGAGUGAAGAUUUGUAUAAUCUGCAUUGGAUCAAGUAUUGACUGGCGAUUCGUCAAUAUGCAUACGUGAACGUGUAUGUGUGUGUGAGUGUGUAUGUGUGUGUGUGUGUGUGUGUGUGUGCGUGCGUGUAUGUACAUGUGUGUGUAUGACUUGACAGAACCUUCGGUUAUGCCAGAGAUGACAGUGUCAUUCAAAGUGUGCACCAUUUUUGCCCACUGCUAUAUUGCGAAGUUUCAAAUCGUAGAGACUACAAUUGGAGGCUGAUCAUAAGAAGGCAGUUUAGCCAGAUGACUGAAUGUCACAAAUUCUAAUAUCGCUUCCCCUAAAAUUCAAUAGAGUUGAUGAUAUAUCUAUUUCUUUACUACCCACAAGGGGCUAAACACAGAUGGGACAAACAAGGACAGACAAAGGGAUUAAGUCGAUUACAUCGACCCCCAGUGCGUAACUGGUACUUAAUUUAUCGACCCCGAAAAGAUGAAAGGCAAAGUCGACCUCGGCGGAAUUUAAACUUGGAACAUAAUGACAGACGAAAUACGGCUACGCAUUUCACCCGGCGUGCUAGCGUUUCUGCCAGGUCGCCACCCUAGAGUUGAUAAUAUAUUGGUUGAUUUUCUUUAUUGUUAAACUCCAAAUUAGUCCUAAGCAAGGAACCCGUUUACUCUGUUUCAGUAUGUCCCACGUUGGGUUUUGUUAGGCCCCAGAUUAUCCCUUAUCAAGAAGACAUGAUAAAGAACGUAAAUGCCAUGAUCAUCCAGGUCUAUUUUAUAUCCAAGACUACAAUGUUCAAGGUAUCAUUUUCUUUUGAUGGCUCACUUGCAUUUACAGUGUAGUUUAAAUGGUAUUUAUAGCACGGCGAACCAAAACGUUGAGGUUUCAUCGGUUGUUAUUCCGCUGUUUACCUCAUGAUCAAAAUAUUGAUUACACUAGAGCAGAAUAUCUAUUAUGUCAGGAUAAGUAUAUGGUAACACUCUAAUAGGCAUGACGUAAUCAAUAAAAUACUGUGAAAGAGGUUGGGAGGUUAGUUGAGUUUUUUUCUGCCUCAGUUGCUACAAUGUAUCAAUGACAAACGCAUUUGAAGCAUAUUUAUGCACGGUAAAGAAAGGUAAUAUAAGGUGGGUAUGAAAGCAAUAUGUCAGACUGUAAACUUGCUGGAUGGUCUGUUGGUUAAUAAUUCAACUCUGUUUUGUACAAUUAGUCAGAAGAAACCAGAGUUUGUCGUCGUCCCGGAUCAUCACGCUGUUAGUGCUGGAUCGUGUUUCAAAAUAAAAAAAUAAAACUAGGGAUUCAAUACACAAAUCACCCACAAGUACAUGGGUCCUUCAUUAACAUCAAUGCAGAGAAACGAAAAGAGAAGAGGUACGAAAAACUAAUCGAAGAGUGCAGAGAACAGGGAUGGAAUGUCGGGUAUUACCACCUGGCAGUGUGGGCUAGGGCUUCAUUGAAAGUAAAAUAACGCUAUUCAACAGAAGAUUUGUUUUUUCUAGCUCGGAGUUGGGAAAACUAAUAAGGAGAGUACAGGAGGCGGUCGAAAAAGCUAGCUUUUAUAUAUGGCUGAAGCGGGAAGACCAAAAAUGGCUUGAAAGUCAUAACAUGCUGGCGGUUAUCACUAGGUGAGACAAGCUGACACUGAAUCAGCUUAGCUGAUUGACAGAUGAUGGUAUCGUUUAGAGAAUGCAUGGGCUAAGACUACGUACAUUCAUUGGUCAAUUAAAGUUGAGACAGGGUCACGUGACAAAGUUGAGACAGGGGCUGCUUGCUGGAGUCUAGCAGCAGGUAUUUAAAAGGAAACAAUUUGACAAGACAGUCAGUCACCGGCUGAUACUCGCUGACGAUACAUCGAAGAGGCCAGGGAACAGAAGAAAGAAGAAGAAAGAAGACAUGCACCCAACACCAGAGCUGAAGACACCUCCGAAAGGCGGGGCCGCGUCACGUCAAAACGGUAGAGGAGUAGGGUCCGAAACCGGACGUGGUUUCUCCUGACGAUGUCUUGAGCUAAAUGGAUCCUAUAAAGGAGCUGUUGUAUUAGCAGACCACGAAACACGGUUGAAAUUCCUGUUAUUGCUACCAACAUCAGUCUAACGAUUUCAGCAACAGUAUUUCAAAUAAUUAAGGUUGCGAGCUGGCAGAAUCGUUAGUAUGUCGCGCAAAAUGCUUUGCUCUAUUUCAUCUGCAUUCAUGUUCCAAGUUCAAAUUCCGCCAAGGUCGACUUUGCUUUCCAUUCUUUCGGGCGUCAAUAACAUAAGUACCAGUUUAUCUCUGUGGUCGAUGUAAUCGACUUAAAAUCUCACCAACUCCAAAUUGCUGGCCUUGUGCUAAAAUCUCAAACCAAUAUGUCAAAUACUUGAGUGUACUGACAUCGAUCCACACCUUGAACAAUGACAGUUUUGACAGACUAUAAUAAAAACGAGGCUGCAUGAUCGACAGUCACCCUCCAUACUGCCUCGCCUGGUCAGUAUUAGAGAAGGAAUAUUCUAGGAUAUAAUUCUAUAUCAGGACUUGGUGAGAGGAAAAUAAGAAAAUGCAUGAAAAUUGUGAAUUCGUUCACGAGGGUGCGUGAGUGCGUGUAUGUACGUGCGAACGUGUGAGCGUGAGUGUGUGUGUGUGUGUGUGCAUAUCUAUGUAUGUAAAACGAAAUAGAUAUCAGUCAGUGUCGACGAAGAGUAUUCAAUCGUUCCACCAACUUCACUAGUUACAAAGUACAUUAUACCUACAGGGUAUUCGAGAUAUGUUUACAUAAAAGGGAAAACAAAACAACGAUAAUCCAUCCAAAAAAUGAAAGUAUUUAAAAAGAUAUCAAAGAAAUAUCAACUAGACUAUGACUGGGAGAUAACAGUUUAUCCAAAGUAGCCACCCUCAAUUUCCACCACGGCAUCAAGAUGGUUCCGGAAUCUGGCACAUGCUUACCUCACUAUGUUCCUGAGAAGAUCUUCGAACAUCUCCAUGAUCUUAGCCACCAGCUCGGACUUGGUGUUGCAGGGACAGCGACUGGUGCCUAUCUAAACCACGCACGACACAUAGUAAUUUAUUGGAUUAGAAUCGGGGUAAGUAGGAGGCUAUUGGGGCUGAAGAAGUCUUAGAGAUUUUCCGACAACUAUUUCUGUCACUUUCCUGAGGAAUGACAAAAUGUCGAAACCUGUUGCUCUACAUGUGGCCAUCCAGCAGCAACCCAGGGAUUGAUCACAAUUUCUCAGGGAUUGAUCACAUCUAGGGAUUGAUCACAAUUUCCAGCAACAUUACAUAGGAAACUGAAAUAAGCCUGGGUCUCUGUUCAUCGAUGUGAGGAUGAAUAUCGGCAUGCGGACGCAAUCAGAUCACCUGCUCUGUCCUUUACAGUUGGAUAUGGUUUGCAGCUCUCCAUGCCACGCUUUACAGCCUUCGCAGUGUUCACAGGACAUUGAGCAGCAGCAAUCUUAAUUUUAAUACCUAUUUCUUUACUACCCACAAGGGGCUAAACACAGAGGGGACAAACAAGGACAGACACACGGAUUAAGUUUAUUAUAUAUAUCGACCCCAGUACGUAACUGGUACUUAUUUAAUCGACCCCGAAAGGAUGAAAGGCAAAGUCGACCUCGGCGGAAUUUGAACUCAGAACGUAGAGACGGGAGAAAUACCGCUGAGCAUAUCACCAGGCGUGCUAACGAUUCUGCCAGCUCGCCGCCUUUCAUAAUUUUAAUACAUGGUGUGAAUC
rnacentral:lncRNA from 1 species